rnacentral:rRNA from 1 species
CCUACGGGAGGCAGCAGUGGGGAAUAUUGCGCAAUGGCCGAAAGGCUGACGCAGCGACGCCGCGUGUGGGAUGAAGCUCUUCGGGGUGUAAACCACUGUUGCCCGGGACGAACGGCGAGAUUUUUCUCGAUUGACGGUACCGGGUGAGGAAGCACCGGCUAACUCCGUGCCAGCAGCCGCGGUAAUACGGAGGGUGCGAGCGUUGUCCGGAAUCACUGGGCGUAAAGGGCGCGUAGGUGGCUUGGCAAGCGUGUGGUGAAAGCCCGGGGCUUAACCCCGGGUCUGCCGUGCGAACUACCAUGGCUAGAGUACUGUAGAGGCAGGUUGAAUUCCGGGUGUAGCGGUGGAAUGCGUAGAGAUCCGGAAGAAUACCGGUGGCGAAGGCGGCCUGCUGGGCAGUUACUGACACUGAGGCGCGACAGCGUGGGGAGCAAACAGGA